GGUGAACGCUGGUGGCGUGCCUAAGACAUGCAAGUCGAGCGGGCCGCGGGGUUUUACUCCGUGGUCAGCGGCGGACGGGUGAGUAACGCGUGGGUGACCUACCCGGAAGAGGGGGACAACCCGGGGAAACUCGGGCUAAUCCCCCAUGUGGACCCGCCCCUUGGGGUGUGUCCAAAGGGCUUUGCCCGCUUCCGGAUGGGCCCGCGUCCCAUCAGCUAGUUGGUGGGGUAAUGGCCCACCAAGGCGACGCGGGGUAGCCGGCCGGAGAGGGUGGCCGGCCCAAGCGGGACGAGGCCACGGGCCCGGCACCCGGGGGCGGCGGGGGGUAGCGAUCGCCCGAACUGGGCGUAAGCCUGACGGCGCGACGCCGCGGGGAGGCAGCAGCCCUUCGGGGUGUAAACUCCUGACCCCGGGACGAGACCCCCGACGAGGGGACUGACGGUACCGGGGUAAUAGCGCCGGCCAACUCCGUG
rnacentral:rRNA from 1 species